GGUGUUUUGGGUUAAGCUUGGGGCCUGGUGUCGCUAGAUCGGCCUGGGGGCCUCUGGCAGCUAAGGGCUAGAUGAGGGGCUCCAGCCAGUCAGACCCUAGCCGUCUGGCUUUCAGCCUUCAAAAUAUCUGGGUGGCCAGCGCCUAAGCAUUUUGGAGCAUGCCUUGUUUUGUUGUGGUUUGGAUCCUGCACCUCUCCCACUUUUCUUACAGUGUUGUACUGUGUUCCUGUAGUCGUUGAUGCUCAGGAUCCUAUUUGAGGUUAGGUUGGGCUUGUUUUCUUGGGUCUGGUGGGAUUUGUGCAACAGGUGAAAUUUUGGAAAGUCUGAAGGGCAAUAUCCCGAGUGUGGUCUGUCUUGUUUUCGGUGUGAGAAACUGCGUGAGUGGUGAACGUGCCACUGAACGUGUGCCUCACCUUCUCUUACAUGUGGUGAACCUUGCCCCUGUUUCCUAAUGCCCACAGGCAGUGUUCCGCAGUUCCUCCUUAUGAAAUGCCUUUCUGUUAACUUGGAUGUGUUCUUAAACCUUUGUGAGCCUCUGGAAGACUGCUUUGCAGUUGGUCGUAGAACAGUAUUGUAGAACAGUAUUGCAAAAAAUGAAUGUGAAACAAAUACCACCAUUACAAUUACCCUUAGUUCUAGGUAUAAGCCCUUUCACCUUAGUGGUGCUGUGGAGUGGUUUGGGUACUUAAGGGAAUUAGAUUUGCUUUUAGAUGCUUUACCUUACUCUUGGCUCCCAGGGUUCCUCUGCCUGUUGGUACACUUUGAUCUUAACUUGUUUUUCCAUACUCUCUUAGCUUGAGUCAAAAUGGGACACUGUGUACUGACAUGUAACUGCAUGUAUCAGAAUCUCAGGAUUACACCAACUUGCAAAGCAGAGAGCCCUUCUGGACAUUUGUGAGUAGACACAUCUCCAAGAAAUGACAAGUUUUACUUGAAGACAGUAUUACUUCUUGCCUGACACUCAUGAGAUGCAGAUCUGUGAAAUUUUUAUGAAGACCGUAUAAGAAGAUAUUUUUAAAUUGAUCUGAAAGAAUAG